rnacentral:rRNA from 1 species
CUCAUUUGAAUAUUUGCUAGUACCACCAAGAUUUGCACCGGGACCCGCUUCACCUAGGCUCACGCUCCGGGCUUCGCAGCAAGCCCCGCGCCCUCCUACUCGUCGCGGCGUCAGAAUCGCUGCGAGGGCCGAGCAUUGGUCGCGCGCUUCAGCGCCAUCCAUUUUCGGGGCUGAUGUGAGAGGUUUGAGUGCCAGCAUGGGCUGAUGUGACCGGCAUUGCGGUGGGGAGCGAUUGAAACCCCCCACGGGUGGCGGUCACGGCAGUCGAGGAACUUGAGCACGCGCCUCUUUCGGCGGGCCCGUUCGGGUUCCUGCGUGUUCGGGAUAAUGGCGAAAUUCCUCUAUCUUUUCCAUCUUGAAACACAGACCAAGGAGUUCAACGUGCAUGCAAGCCGGUGGGUGAUUAGCCCACGAGGCGGAAGAAACCUGAGUGGCGGGAACCCUCUGCGGGUGCACCGUCCGCCAACCACGAUCUGAUGUGAGAGGUUUGAGUGUGAGCAUGCCCGUUUGGACCCGAAAGAUGGUGAACUAUGCCUGAGCAGGGUGAGGCCAGAGGAAACUCUUGUGGAGGCUCGCAGCGAUAUCGACGUGCAAAUCGUUCGUCGGACUUGGGUAUAGGGGCGARAGACUAAUCGAACCGUCUAGUAGCUGGUUGCCUCCGAAGUUUCCCUCAAGAUAGCUGGAGCUGUUGAACAGUUUUAUCGUGUAAAGCGAAUGAUUAGAGGCCUCGGGGSUGAAACACCCUCGACCUAUUCUCAAACUUUAAAUAGGUAAGAUUUCGGGGUUGCUUAAKCGAACCCCGAGGAUCAAUGAAAGCUCCAAGAGGGCCAUUUUUAGUAAGCAGAACUGGCGAUGCGGGAUGAACCGAAAGUCGAGAUACGGUCCCAAACUGCGCGAUAACCCUUACACCACAAAGGGUGUUGAUUGAUACAGACAGCAAGACGGCAGAAAUGGAAGUCAAAAUCCGCUAAGGAGUGUGUAACAACUCACCUGCCGAAUCAAUCAGCCCCGAAAAUGGAUGGCGUUGAAGCGCGCGACCUAUGCUCCGCAAUCGCAGCGAUUCUGACGCCGCGACGAGUAGGAGGGCAUGGGGCCUGCUGCGAAGCCUGGAGCGUGAGCCUAGGUGAAGCGGGUCCCGGUGCAGAUCUUGGUGGUAGUAGCAAAUAUUCAAAUGAGAACUUUGAAGACCGAAGUGGAGAAGGGUUCCAUGUGAACAGCGCUUGGACAUUGGUCUGUCGACCCUAAGAGAUGUGGAAACCUAUUACCCAGGGCCCACUUCGCGCCGCACAUCGAAAGGGGGUCGGGUUAAUAUUUCCGAACCGGGUUGUGGAGGAGGACGGUAACGUAAGCAGCUCCGGAUAUGCCAGCGGGGGCCGUGGGGAGGGUUCUCUUUCGUUCUUGACAGCUCGCCCACCCUGGAAUCGGAUCAACCGAAGAUAGGGUGCAGUUCCCGGCAAAGCACCGCACGUCCUGUGGUGUCCAGCGCGCCCCUGAUGGCCCUUGAAAAUCUGGAGCUGUGGGUACCUCUCACGCCCGGCCGUACUCAUAACCGCAUCAGGUCUCCUAGGUGAGCAGCCUCUGGUCAAAGGAAGAAUGUAGGUAAGGGAAGUCGGCAAUAUGGAUCCGUAACCUUCGGAAAAGGAUUGGCUCUGGGGGCUGGGCGUAGGGGUCUGCGCCUCGAUGUCGUUGGCUGCCGGUGUUCUGCCCGAGCUGCUCCCGCGGCGAGGGCGGAGCCCGCGUUCCAGAACUGGUGCGGACAAGGGGAAUCCGUCUGUUUAAUUAAAACAAAGCAUUGCGAUGGUCCCAAGGGAUGUUGACGCAAUGUGAUUUCUGCCCAGUGCUCUGMAUGUCAAAGUGAAGAGAUUCAACCAAGCGCAGGUAAACGGAGGGAGUAACUAUGACUCUCUUAAGKUAGCCAAAUGCCUCGUCAUCUAAUUAGUGACGCGUAUGAAUGGAUUAAUGAGAUUCUCACUGUCCCUAUCUACCAUCCUGCGAAACCACAGCCAAGGGAACGGGCUUGCAAGAAUCGGCGGGGAAAGAAGACCCUGUUGAGCUUGACUCUAGUUCGACUCUGUGAAAUGACUUGAGAGGUGCAGAAUAAGUGGGAGCCUUACGGCGCAAGUGANNNNNNACUACUUUUAACGUUAUUUUACUUAUUUCGUGAGGUGGAGCCGGGGCUCUGCCCCUGCUUCUCGAUCCAAGGUGCAGGCCCUCGUGGCCUGUCCGAUCCAAGUCAAAGACAUUGUCAGGUGGGGAGUUUGGCUGGGGCGGCAGAUCUGUUAGAAGAUAACGCAGGUGUCCUAAGAUUCGCUCAACGAGAACAGAAAUGUCGUGUGGAGCAAAAGGGCAAAAGCUCAUUUGAUUUUGAUUUUCAGUUCGAAUACAAACUGUGAGAGCAUGGCCUAUCGAUCCCUUGGCGUUUAAGGACUUAAAGGUACAGGUGUCAGAAAAGUUACCACWGGGAUAACUGGCUUGUGGCAGCCAAGCGUUCAUAGCGACGUUGCUUUUUUAUCCUUCGAUGGCGGCUCUUCCUAUCAUUGUGAAGCAGAAUCCCCCAAGUGUUGGAUUGUUCACCCACCAAUAGGGAACGUGAGCUGGGCUUAGACCGUCGUUAGACAGGUUAGGGGUCUCCCCUGCCUGCCCCUCGGCGAUCUUGCCCACCCGCCUCUUCGCUUGUUGGGGUGAGUSUUGGAKCUCGACCCUUGCAUUCGUGUGGAUGUGGAGGGCACGGGAGAGCCGUACAACUUAGUGUGGCAGAAUAGUUAGUAAUUAGCAUGGUUGCAUGACAGGUGUGUGGAAAAAGGGUUGCCCUCACCCCAGUGGAAGAGGGCAAUAAGGGGAAACUCUAACGCUUCAGGCAUAUAGACUCCCCCAAGUUUUCGCCUUGCGCUGAGGGU